GUAAUUUGUAGAGGAUGCUUCGGGCAAGGCUGUGAUCUAAUUUGCUUGGAACAGCAAGUCACAGAGGGUGAGAAUCCCGUCUAGGAUCGUGUGUCAUGCCCAGGUGAAGCUCCUUCGAUGAGUCGAGUUGUUUGGGAAUGCAGCUCUAAAUGGGUGGUAAAUUUCAUCUAAAGCUAAAUAUUGGCCAGAGACCGAUAGCGCACAAGUAGAGUGAUCGAAAGAUGAAAAGCACUUUGAAAAGAGAGUUAAACAGUAUGUGAAAUUGUUGAAAGGGAAGCGCUUGCAACCAGACUUGGGGAUAACGGUUCCCUCGGCCUUUUGGCCGGGCUAUUCUGUUACGUCCAGGUCAGCAUCGGUUUAGGUGGUCGGUGAAAGAUCUCGGGAAUGUAUCUUCCUUCGGGUCGACUUAUAGCCCGGGGUGCAAUGCGGCCCACCUGGACCGAGGAACGUGCUUCGGCUCGGAUGCUGGCGUAAUGGUUGUAAGCGGCCCGUCUUGAAACACGGACCAAGGAGUCUAACAUCUAUGCGAGUGUUUGGGUGCCAAACCCCUAUGCGUAAUGAAAGUGAACGGAGGUAAGACCCCCGUCCAGGGGCGCAUUAUCGACCGAUCCUGAUGUCUUC
rnacentral:rRNA from 1 species